rfam:Oryza glumipatula chromosome 3, whole genome shotgun sequence.
AAAAAGACAAACCCUAGAUUUCCGUGUCCAACUUUGACUGUCCGUCUUAUAUGAAAUUUUUUUAUAAUUCGUAUUUUCAUUGUUGUUAGAUGAUAAAACAUGAUUAAUAUUUUAUGCGUGACUUGUCUUUUUAAUUUUUUUCAUAAUUUUUCAAAUAAGACGGACGGUCAAACGUUGGACACAGAAAUAUGGGUUUGUCUUUUUU